rnacentral:tRNA from 1 species
GCUUGUGUGGUUCAGUGGAUAGACCGCUCGCCUGCGAACUGAAGGGUCCCGGGUUCGAUUCCCGUCACAUGCC